rnacentral:rRNA from 1 species
UACAGAGGUCCCGAGCGUUGUUCGGAUUCAUUGGGCGUAGAGGGUGCGUAGGCGGUCUGCUAAGUUUGAUGUGAAAUCUCCGGGCUUAACCCGGAAAGGUCAACUGAUACUGCAGGGCUAGAGUGCAGAAGGGGCAACUGGAAUUCUCGGUGUAGCGGUGAAAUGCGUAGAUAUCGAGAGGAACACCUGCGGCGAAGGCGGGUUGCUGGGCUGACACUGACGCUGAGGCGCGAAAGCCAGGGGAGCGAACGGG